rnacentral:piRNA from 1 species
UUUUUCAGGAUUUCUGAGAUGUACUCAAG